AUCGCUUCUCGGCCUUUUGGCUAAGAUCAAGUGUAGUAUAUAUAAAAGAAUGAUGGCAUCACGGCGACCCACA
ensembl:snRNA U2 U2 spliceosomal RNA